UGAGUUAAGAUCGACGGUUUAUUCAUUAAUUAUUGAGGUUUAAAUCUAACAUAGGAAUUAUUAGGGUUUGGUUUAGGAUUUGGUUAGGAUUUGGUUUAGAAUUUAGGGUUUGUAUUAGGGUUUGAUUUAGGAUUUAGGAUUUGAUUUAGAAUUUGAUUGGGAUUUAUUUAGAGUUUAAGAUUUUGUUAGGAUUUGAUUUAGGAUUUGGAUUAGAGUUUGAUUAGGGUUUGAUUUAGGGUUUAGGGUUUGGUUUAGGAUUUGGAUUAAAAUUUGGUUAGGAUUUGAUUUAGGAUUUAGGAUUUGGUUUAGGAUUUGGUUAGGAUUUGGUUUAGGAUUUCGUUGGGAUUUGGUUUAAGAUUUGUUUAGUGUUUGAUUUAGGAUUUAGGAUUUUAUUAGGAUUUAAGAUUCAAUUAGUUUUGGCCUAAAGUUUGAAUGAAGUUCAAUAGGAUUUUAACUAGAAUUAAAUUAAGAUUGAAUUGAGAUGUAUUUUAGUGAUAUUUGUGAUCCUUCUAAUAUUUCUUUAAGAAUUCUUAUUAUUUGUUUGAAAUUUCUUUGAGAUUUUUUUGAAUUUUAUUAAGCUUGCUUAGCAUUAUUAUGAUCUAAUUAGAGUAUUGUUAGCAUUCUAUUAGAAUUAGAAUUUUAUUAUUGCAAUUUCCAUUCUUCCUUCUAUAGCCAUGUGCCCGGAGCAUUCUCAAGCAAGACUUCACGUAUUACGACAAUGUUGAUGACUUUUUAUUCUAAAAGAUUUGUAAUAGCCAAGAUCAACUAGAAGAUCCACAAUAAAGAGCUUCUUGUAAACAUAGAUUUAUUUUUAAAAUAGUAUCAUUACUUAGAAGACGCUUCUAAUCUAAUUACCAUAUAUAUAUGAAUCAUAAGAACUUCAAGUAUUUCAUAUCAAUACAUAUUUUAAAUUGUCACCAAGUCUAUUGGAGUAUGUUUUUAUUAAGUUUUUAUUUUAAGAUUAUUUAUUAAUCAUAAAAAUAGCAAGCUUUAUUAGAUAUCUUUUUUAGAUGUUCUUAUCUAGCAUCCAAAAAAUAAAUACAGGUUUUGAUCAACAAAGAAUGAUUUUCUUGAAGCCAAAGUAUUUUCAACUUUGAGCAAUGAAAUCAACAUUGAUUGUUAAAUCAACCUUUCUCAAGUAAGUUUAAUUGAGUGUAUCUUUUGUUAUUCUUAUUUAUGAUAUUAAAAAUAAUUCUUUAAAGUUUCAUAGUACUUUUGAAUAUGAGUUUAAAAAUAAUCUAUUCUAUUUUAAAAGAUACUUAUAUAUUUAAAAAAAAAUAAAGCAUAAUUACAUGUUCUUCAAGCUCAUGACAAUU
rnacentral:lncRNA from 1 species